rnacentral:lncRNA from 1 species
CAGGCCUUAGGCUGGGCGCUGGAAGCGUCAUGGUAGCUAAGGCACAGCAACGCCCUCCCAGGAAGGGAGCAGGCUGGUGGGCAGGCAGGUGGGGAGGAGGCACCCUGCACAGGUGCUCCCCUGGGCCGGCUGCUCAGGGAGCGUUGCAUAGCCUUGGUAAGUCCCUGGGCCAGACUCACUUGAGCUGGGCCUGACGAGGGGUGGGGAGGAGGCAGCUGGAGAAUGUAGCCUGUGGGGAGGCAAGAGGCAGAGACACCGGGACACCUGGGCUACUGCCAAGAGUCCAGCGUGUCUGGAGUAUGGAGUGAGGGGUGAGCAAGACGGAGGCCAAUGUGGAACCAAGGCAGCCUCCAGGAAGGCCCCAGAGGCCAGGCUGAGAGCUUACCUCAGCACAGGACACUGGGGGCUGUGGGGUGGCCUCAAGCUUCAGCAGAAGUGGUGGGUCUGAGUUUUAACAGAUCACUCAGUGUGGAGAACUGGAUGGAAGGAGAAAAGCCUGGAGCAAAAUGACCAGUGAGAGGGCUGGUGCAGUGCCCUGGGCCUGUGAGAGGUGGCCCGUGCCGGUGGAGACCAGUAGGAGAGGCAGAGAUGCUGCAGGCGCUGGAUCUGCAGAACACAGCUCAGCAACCAGCAGGGUCUUGAGCUGGAAACAGAGUCACAGUGGCCACUCGUGGAGGUGAAGAAAGAGGAGCAACAGCUCGUGGGAAUGCGGUGAGUGUGGUUGGAGAGCAAGGCCUGGGCCAUCCAGACUAGGUCAGCAGCCCAGGGCCUGCAAAGAGCAGGGCUGAGGACACACACUGUCAUCGCAGCCAGGGCACAGAAGAGAGGGCAGACAGGUGGAAGGCAAUGUGACAACAUGCAGCGAGGCCCACACAGGUAACCACGGCACAGGCUCAAGAAGACAGGACUGUGAUCUCUGGGCUUAGGCAGCAAGGUCUCGGUGACACAGGAAGUGUAGGCUUGAAAGUGGCAUGUUGGGUGAGAAGCCAGCAUAAGGGAGUGUGGAGGAGCCCAGGUGACAGUGCUGGCGCCACUGGGUGCGCAGAGGAGAGCUGGGACUGCACAGUAAGGAAGGAAGGGACCCAAAGACAUGUGCCUGGAGCACCCUGGGUGAUUGGUAAGGGCAGGGGCGCACACGGAGAAAAGUGGAAAUCAUUUAAAAUUUGAGUUCCAGAACUGGGAGGCAGUGUUAGCCUGGUGGACUUUUUCACUCUGAUGAAAACCAGGCUGGGUACAAGGCACUAUGCCAGUGCCCACCUUGCGGAGUGACCAGAACCUCCUUUGCUUUCAUUCCUCAGCGCCUGGAUGCUGGGUGUCACCACAAGCACAUGGUUGAUGUUGGGACACAUUACAUCUCUCACACAGCCAGUAAGUAGCCUCUGCUCAGGUGGCUCAGCCCCUCCAAGUCCACACUCCUCCCCAGGACUGACCUCUGGGCUGUCUUUACUCCUAGGCAGUGGGCUUCUGGGAGAAUGGGCUUGGAAUAUGGGUAUAGACAGGGCCAGAAGUUGAGGAAAGGAGGCAAAGGUCCAAAGUCUGGUCACUCUGAGGAAGAAGAUGUGGGAGGGAGUCAGGGUGAGCUGUACCUGAUACAGGGGACGCUUGGGGUAAAGGGAGACAGGGAAUGGUAACACGGAGACCAGGAGGCCCCAAAGCACUGGAUAAGGGAAGCGAGCCUGGCAAAGUGGGAGGAGCAGGAGAGGAGCUGCCUGGGUGGCCACCCCAGCACCAUCAACAGGGAGGCCUGGGGUUGCCCUGUGGUCAGACCUGAGGGCCUGGAUGGUGAGCAGAGCUGACUGUCCCUCUUGCUGGGCUCCAUGCACACCUGUCCAGCCACUCCUAGGAACUUCCACCCACUGUGACCCACUGAAGCGGUUCUUCCCUAGGCCUCCCUGUCUCAGUAGCUAAUUCUACUUUCCACCCUCUGCUCUGGCCUAGAUGUCAGUCUCAAAUCCUCAUUUCUGCUCGCCCCAGGCAAUAGUGAUCAAUUGCCACACAGCAAUGUUGCUGGAAUCUUAGUGGCCUGAAGCGCUAGUGGCCCCAGUGACUGAGGGCUGGGUGCACACAGUGUCUCUCACAGGCUGCUGCCCAGCAGAGGUGCAGCUGAGGCUGGGCUGAGCAGGACACCAUUCCCUAUAGGUUACUAGGCUAGGAGCAUCAGCUCAUUGCUGGCUACUGGACAGGUGCUGCUCCCUGUCACACGGCCAUCGGCUUCCUCAAAACCCCAAGGUGAAAGCCAGUGAAGUCUGCCAGCCAGAAGGAAGGCACAAUCUCACAUGAACACCCAAAUCCCCAUUCCAUCAUGUUCCCUUAUCCUGGCAGAAACAAGUCUCAGCCCAUCCACACUCUAGAGAGGGGCUACACAGGGCAAAAAUAAUGUCAGGAGGUGGGGUAUGCAGGAGCCACCAGAAAGUCUGCCCAACAUACCCCAUCACAGUUCAUUGGUGAUCCUGUGGACCCCACCUCCAAAGUGCCCCCUGCAGCUGCCCAUCCACCCUGGAGCCAGGGACCAUCUCUCAUUGGGCCACCCUGGUCUCCCUGGUCCUUUCUUCUUCAAUGUCCAUGCUACACAUGGGAGAUGAUGGAGUUCUCUGUGCCAUGAAAACCUUCCCCAAAGUUCUCACUGAUGACCAAGUGAAGUAACAACUCAUCAAGACCCUACCCAACCUGGCCUGCUCACCCCUCUGACUUCAUCUCAUCUCUGGCCACUGAUUGACAUGCUCAGACAUUGAUGCUUAUGUUCCUUAGACUCCUUGAGUUUGUUCCUGCGGUUUGGUGUUUAUACUUAACUUUCUCUCUGUCUGGAAUGUCCUUCCCCAGUUUUGCAUAGAACAUCUUCUGUCCUUCAGACCCAGCACUAGCCUUGCCUCCUUGGAGAGGCUUGCCCCUCUGGGAGGACAGCCCCAGGCUUGACCCCAUCACUCUCAGGCCAUUCCAGUGCAUCUCCCAGGGUUCCCAUGAAGGCCCCUCUGGCUCACUGCCAUGCUGGAUUGUCACUAUCUGUGAUUCACUAGUGUUCAGGCUCCCUGAGGACACCCCCACCCCCACUGGUUGUUUUCCAUGCUCUUCCCGUUGCCUAGAAGCAGACCUGAUGGGCAACGGAUCCUGCCAACUAUUGCUGAACAAAUUAGUCAGUUAAUGGCCCAGGAAUCAACUUAAUACACAGAGUUACAUGUCCUCUGCUGCCUGCAGAUGACUGCAUGACUCUAGUCAGAAAACCAGGGCCCUUUUCAUUGACUUUGGUGUGGUAUAAAUCUGGCCAGAGGAAGUUUCUGCAUCCAUUAUUUUAGGAAGCUUCUUAUAGCCCAUUGAUUGACAGUUAUUUACCCCCAUGUGUCCCCAAGUUCAUUUGAUAGUGGAUAGUAUCCCUGGGACAGCAAUACCUGCACGGAUGACACUUGGUCAGGGUUUUCACAGAGCCUGUUAAUGGUGUGCACAAGGAGAGCACACCACCUCCUGCAGAGCCAACAGAGAGGCACGGUGUUUCCAGGCCCAGCUGCUCUGAGGCAGCACAAAGGGCCUCGCCUGUCACAGGCAUGAGUUUCCUGUAAGAACAUAAAGAUCUAUACCAAGUGACAAUGAAAGCAACUGGGGAAAAACAAGGGUGUUCAGGAGUGUCAUGGAGGCGAAGGAAAUUGGAAACAUUCCAAGUUGCUCUUUGGGUUCAUUGUGCUUCUCACUGAGGAGGCCCAUGAUUGGCAUCCGUUAAACACAUCUUUGUGUGGGGGAGCCCCAUCUUACUCAUUUCAGAUUUUCCCACCUCCCGUGGGCACCAGUUUGCUCAAGGCUUUUUCUGAAGCGAGUGUGUGUCCUAGGCAGCUUUAGUGGGGAGAGAGGCGCCUGCUCUGAUUCCUCAGGUUUGGCCCUGUCUUGUCCUGGUCCUCAAGCCAGUAAUUACACGGAAAGGACAGGAAGGUACAAAGGCAAAGCCAAGGAGCCCUGGCUCUGAGGACAGUCCGUGGAGGUUGGCCAGGAAACGAAGCUCCAAUAGAGUCCAGCAGAGGGAAUUAACCUAGAAUGUGGUGGGAAGGCCCCCAGAGAGCUGGGCCGCCUACAGCAGGCAGUGGAAGACCACAGAGGUCAGCGGCUGCAGCGGGCCACCACCGAGGCAGAGGGGUGUUAAGGGCUGAGCUGGAUUCCCCAGAGACAGGUUGAAGUCCUAAUUCCCAGUGCCUCAGAAUGGGGCCUAUUUGGAGGUAAGAUCAUUGUAAAUGUAACUGGGUGAGUUCAAAGGAGACCACCCUGGAGUAGUGGCUGCUGAUCCAACAUGGCUAAUGUCCUAUGGAAAGGGGAAGACAUGGGAAGAGAGUCAGGUGAAGACCAAGACAGGAAUGAGAAGGGUCCAUGGCAGACCCAGGGACAGCAGAAAUUGUGGCCAUGCCAGCAUCCUGGAAAGGUAAGGCCAGAGUCCCAAGGGACCAUAGCCCUGCAAACAACUCAAUUUGGGACUUUUAACCAGAACGCUGACAAAGUAAAUUCCUGUUGUUAGAGGCUCUCUAGGAAACGGAUGUCGACGGCACACCCAGAACCCACACUGGAUAAUAGGGAUUUAUAUGUGGGCCAGACAGAGGCUGGGACCACAGGGACAGCCUGUCUGUUAGGGUCUGGGAGUAUGGAGUGGCCAUCAGGCGGGCGAGGGCCAGGAGGGGAGGCAGGACCACCUCUCUCCCUUCCAUCCUCCUGGCUCCUGCCAGGGCCUCUUUUUCUCUGAGCCUGGUUGGAAACCGGUUGGCAGGAGAGCCUGAGAAAAAGUAGUUCUCAGGGGCAGGGGAUGGACAGGACUGUGCUCUAAGACAAUCCUGGCCCGGAGGGCGGUCACCUAGACUGCUAUGUGCAGACCACAUUCUCACUAAGCCAAGGCUGCAAGGACAGGGCCUCCAGCUCCACAGCCCCCGCAAAGUGGAAGCCGUGAGUGUCUGAAGUGAGAAGCCCACAUGCAAAGGCAAGACGUUAAAACCCACUGUUGUUUGAUUAUUAAAGUAUUCAUCAAAUGACCUAGAGCCAAGAAACCACCCGGAGCAAAUUUGGGACAAUUUCACACAUUUGGAUCUGGGACAAAAAAUAUCACUUUUUAUCCCUCAUUUUCAUGAAGAGGACUUGCAACAGAAGUGUUCAGGAUUGCUAGGAAACAGUGGAGAGGAAACAUAGGGCUGAAGACCUACAGGAAUUUAAAAAUAGGAAAGUGAGAGAUUGAGAUUGUGCCCAGUCAAAUCUUCAACCAAAAUCAGGAAGAAAGUGAAUGGGGACUGGAGAGGUCUUUGGGUCACGACCCCAGGUCACGCCCCUGCAACUGACCCCCCCACCUCAAAAGCUAAAUCAGUGUUUUUGCAAAGAUUUGAAACACUUGUGGACCAAAAUAAACUAGGGUCCUUAGAAUUAAAACCCCCAUCAUUCUUUAAGCCAAAUUUGGUCAUGAAUCUGAGCUGAAGUAUUCUUUCAUUUAGAACAGAAAAUAAAUAUGCAUAAACUUAUGUGUAAUACACUUUAUGUUUAUACACAUUUGUUAUUCAUGAUAAAAGAAGGCGUACAGUUCCACUUGCAGGAGACAACCCUCUUGGAACUCACAGUUUCUCAGGUUAGUCCUUGCACAGAGGGUGGUCCACUGUCUUCAACCAAGAUGUUAUUUGGACUGCUAAUAAAAAGAGGGAUUACAUUAAAUUUGUCAAAAAUUACAUUCUGCAAAAGAGCGAGGUGGCAUGGUCUUUGCUUUCCAACAUUUUGAAUUAGUUCAGAAACAGAAUCGAGAAACCAUAUGCCCAGCAAGCUGCAGUGACCUCGGCAGGCACAAGUACUCACAGGGAGCCUUGGGCAAAUUCACGGUCAUUGCACUCACAGGAUAAUCACGGGGCCUUGCUGAUAGAAGCAGGGUCUGUAGGUUUCUGUCAGUGUGAUAUUCAGUGUGAGAGGUUGAGAUUGUCUAACAAGCCCACCAAUGCUGAACACAAGCUGCAAAGAUUGUGAAAUGAUAGACAAAUCAGUAGUUAGUGGCUGGAAUGUCAAGUCCGAGAUGUUGCAUUGACAUGCAAUCAAAGACCACAAAUGAGGCCAGGGGUCUGCAGUGAAGAGGCACCAGCCUCUGGGAUUUGCACAGAAGGGAGCACAGAGCCCUGUGUUGAUCAGAGCAGGAAGUAUUUAAAAACUGCAUGGAGUUUUGAGAGAGUUCACUGCAGUUAGAACCCACUGAAUUGCCAUGUCCAGAGUCCUAGGUUGUGGCCUCCAACUCCCAGCCACCCUAGACUGCCCCUCUGGUGAGUUCUGCAUUCCCCAAACACAGGAAGCAUCCUCAGCUCUCUGAGGUAACCUUCCUAGGAUGCAGUGACCCCUCUGCCAUUGUGAGGCCUUUGUUCUGGCCUUUCAAGACAGCCAGGCCAGGUCAAGGGCAGGUGGAUUUAGAAAGGUCUUGGGGAGUCUCCAGGGGACAGAGGCCUUUGAUGAAGGUGGUUACUGUGAGAAGCAGAAAAUGAUUUGUGGUAUCACCCAGUAAACCUCAAAAGUUGCUGGAGAUCAUUAAUCAUAGCAAGGUGGGUACAUGCCAUGCCCACUUUAGAACCGUGGGUGCUUCCAGCAGGCCAGAUGGAGCCCAGAAAUUCCAUCCUGACACUCCCAGAUAAAUGCUUUUUAGGUCCGGGUUUGGUGGUGAAGCUGCAAACAUGAUCAGAGUCUCAUGGGAUAUCAGAAUGAGGAAAGUAGUUCAAGUAAACAUCUGUCUUGAAUCUUUUUAGCAUCGCAGACCUCUUUGAAUGUAUGAUGAACACUGCAGAUUUUGCCUCUGGAAAAUAAAAAUCCCACACAGAGAAACACACAAUUGGAAGGAGGCUGAAGAAUCCCUGCGAGUCAUGGACCCUUUAGGGGCUGAUGGGUUCCUGAACCAGAACCUCCUGGAUCAGGAGGUCUUAUAGACACAGUUCAACACACACUGGAAGAUGAGCAGGGCUUCUGAGGACAGAAGCAACUUCCAGGGUAUCCUGGGAUGAGCAGCUCACAGUGUCUGCUCCUAGGGAGCUGCUCCCGGGCUCACAGAUCAGCAGAAGAGGGUAGUUGCUGUGGACAGGUGUGUGGGAAAAACCUACCCCUUUUCCUUUAGAGGAAAUCUCAGCGACUCCAGGAUGUGGUGGGAAGAGAGAAGAGAGGGCCCCUCCUGACACACUUGCUAUAAGUGGAAAGGCAUUCCGUGCCCCUGACCCACCAAACUCCCCGCUCAGCCUCGCCUGCCUUCAACCUGCUGAGAACGCUCACGCAGGCUAUGGUGCACACAAAUGCCCGCACAGAGCCCCGUUUGUAGGAAGUGUUGAACAUGCUGCGUACACACAGGUGGGCAUCUGCACACAUGGGGGCAUGUGGAAAUAAAGUACAAGAUCCAAAAUGCCACUCCCAGUGACUGUGGAGUGUUGCUGUUCCCCUGGUGAUCACAGGGCUGGCCGUGGGCAGUGACCCCUGUGGCUGCCCAGCAUUGAGAGGGCAUCGUACAGUGCACAUCGUCAGCUUGGGGAAAGACCAAGGUCUAAGAUUCAAAGCAGGGUUCCCAUGGAACCAAGAGUAUUGUUUUUACACCCCUACACAGCGGAAAACUGUGGUCAGUGGGGACUUAUCCCUGCAUUUAUGGAGGACCUGUGCUUCAGUAUGAUGAGGAUACUCCUGGCAGGAAUUGGAACUCAAGUUCUCUUGCUCCCAGGAGGUCCUCCCUCACUCUGAAAACAUUAGCCAGCAGGAUAUUCUUGCCAGGACCCAAGGCACAGUGGUGGGGACCCAGGAGAUGUUGCUGGCAAAGCACAAAGUGAAGCUAGAAGGCCAGGGGCUUCCUGCGAUGGUCCAACCCUGGGCUUGGCAAUCAGGGCAGUUUUGGACACCCAGGAGAAGCCAAGAAGUGAAGUGCAAGCCCAUAGGAAGUAGGGACCUUGCAGAGGAAAGAGGCCUUUCAGAGAGACAGGGCCCUGCCUGUGACAGGAGCAGCCAGAGCCCCAGCCUGCGUUAUCAGUGGAAGAACAGAAGGUGCCAGGGAGAUCCUGAGCUGGCACAAGCCAGGAGGGCCAGAGAAAGUGACCAAGGGUCAGGCUGAAACCCUCAGGGCAGCCCACACCACAGGCUUGACCAUGGAUGGCUCAGCCACUGUGGUCUCCCUUCUGACUGGCAUUCAGGUAAACCCAAUGGCCACUGCUCUGUGUUUCCAAGGAAGGCUCAGUUACUGGCAUAUUUUGUGGGAUUUUGGUUUUUCCAUCCUCCAAGGGCCACAUGGAACAAAAGCCACAUCACCUGGAUUCUCACUCCAGCCUGGAUGUGAGCACUUUCCCACACAGGCGUGAAGCAAAGCAAUAUGGGUUUUAUUGAACUUUGGGACAGCUAGUUAAUUAAAAAACAAAAACAGUUCACAUUGCCCUUUAUAAAUGAGAAAAUGGAAAUAGUCCCCAGGGGAAUUAGGAUUAUGCGUUUUGAUGACUUUAGGACAUGGGAAGUCUGGUUUUGUGUGGGUCAGUGGUUCAGGUGAGCAUCUAGCACAGAGUUUGACCUCGUGAAGAAGGGGGGCAGAAGAUCUUCAUCUGUGUUAUUAAUGAAAUGAAUGCAGAGCCCUUUUCUCACGCCAAGCCCUGCAGAGUAAGUACAGAACUGCACGGUCCUCCUUCCUCUUAGUCUGGGAAGCCAGGAAGACAUUACUUGAGAAUCCACUCAGGGCUUUGGAGACCGGAAGAGUAACAGGAUGCAAUACGGGUGGAGCAUUGGCCACAACAGGCAAGGCUGGGGUUGUUGAGAGGGUGGAAGAAAGGUUUCCUGCACAAAACCCAACACCGUUCUGUUUCACUGCUCUCCUGAGACCCUUCCUGGAACACAAGGCACAUCUGUGCCUGGAAGCAGGCAACAGCUCUGAAGGCUGCAGGGCCUAGAUUCACUGGAGCCUGGGGAGGAAAGAGGAGGGAGGUGGCCCUACCAACACACAUGUUCGGUCCUGCAGGGUGGCCCAGGAGUAGCCAUAAAACACACACCUGCAAAGUACAAGUGGCACAGCCCAUGUCCCCUCUCUCCCCACAGAUCACUGUCUCGCUAUGACAGCAGGUCUUUCUGAGGCACUCCAGGGCCACAUCUCCAAGCCUCCUGCCUAGCCUAGGAACACCGCCUGCUGAGCACUGAUGGUUCACCUUGGGGGCUGGAGACAUCCAGAGGCAAGAUCUCCAGAGCCUGAGAGUGUGAGGAAGCACUCUCAGGAACCCAAGGUUUAAAGAAAUCUCAUUGUUUGGCGCACACAUUCAGUAGAGCAACUUGGAGUAUGUCCUGUACGUCAGGCAUUGCACCAAGGGCAGGAGCACUUGAGGGGCCACGGGCACCCUGGGGAAGUAGCUGACCUGCAUCUGGACAGGGCUCUUGUCUCCCCAGAACCUUGGCUUCCUAAAGCACUGCCAUUUUGAAUUUCGCGAUACCUAAAGCUCAAGGCUGCAUGAAGGCAGGGGCCGGUUUGCCCUGGAUGCUGUCUUCCAGCACCAGUUCCCCGAGAGCCAUCCUAAGCCCUACUCAGAGCACAUUUGUCCAAGCACUCAGAUAAUCUGCUUCAAAGCCCUGGGUGACCAGGGACUGCCCAAGGCGGGAUCUUGCAGGAACCAAGACACACAUGAGCAUGUGGGUAGCCUUUCCACUUUGCCACCUGUGUUAUCUGUAGGUGCUGACCCCAUCCCACCAGCCAGGUCCUCAUGCACUUCCCUGAUGUCCUGCUACCAUCUCACAAGAACUGCUGCCUCCACCCUCUGUUGCAAGUCAGCCCUGAACAGGAGCAGCGGGUGGGAGAUGGGCGAGGAGAGCUGCUGGUUCCUCCAGAGGCCAUCCGGCUUUUCUGGUUUCUUAAGAGGGUUUCAGCAAACACACUCCUGUUUUAAGCAUUUUCUAAAAAGCUACUUUUGCAGACUUCAUGUUCUCUUAUGAGCUCAUUUUUUUGCCCAAUGACAUAAAGCAAGGAAUUAGAAAACCACCAUUUCUAAUUGAAACAUAAAAUGGGACAAACGGCGAAUGCCAGAUUCACUCCCUUUCCCUCACUAGGUUUUUCUAGUUCAGACGACAUUUCAAAACCAUUAUAGGGUCUAAACAAUUUUCAAGAAAUGGAAGACAUGGUCUCUGACCUCCACUAUUUUUAUUUCUUUUGUUAAAUAUUUUAAAAAUAUAAUAUAGUACUUUCAGGUCUAUUUAGAAAGUAUGAUGGUAAUAAUCCAAAACCUCACCCCUCAUGAUCUGUACUCCCAGUUUGGCAUAAUGCCUUCCGCUCUUUGUGUCUUCACGUGUUUCAUUUAGUGACACCCAUAAGUUCCAUUUGACUUCAUAAACCUGAGAGCACCAGCUCCACGGGAAGCAAAGGAAGGUGGCAAACACAGUUUCAUCAUCAGAAAGUCCUGAGUUCUUAUAAAGAAAGAGAGAAAGGAGACUUAAGAACAAAACAUUCUCUGCCACUGGAUUUUAAUUAGAACUAUAGUAACCAUGUGAUGUAAAGUUAGAAACAUGCAUUUUGUGAGAUUAAGUUCUCUAAUUCCCACACGUAUGUCUCCUCAUGUUCCAUGUUAUAGGAUGAGUGCAUCCAUUUAAAAUCCCUAAGUUAAAACCUCACCAUUAAUACGCGGGUAUUAGGAGGCCGGGCCUUUGGGGUGAUUAGGAUCAUGAGGGUAUGAAGGUGGGGUAUGGAGGUUAGUGCCUUUCUGGGAGUGCAGGGAAAUUCAUUGUUCUGUUCUGCACAGUGAGAAUGCCACUGUCUGCAAUAGGGGAGAGGGCCCCCAUCAGAAUCCCACCAGCCCAUAGCCUGGCCCUGGACUUCCACCUCCUGAACAGGGAGGAAGAGAUGUUGGUUGUUGAAGCCACUAAGCAUGUGAUGGGUUUAGCAUCCCGAACAGACUGAGACAGUCAGCACUUAAUUUAUGUCCCACAGUGUGAUUUUAUAAUUACCUUUAUUUGGGACCUCUAUCUUCAUAUUAAAAUCAUUCCUAGCUCUUAAAAGUUUUUUGGAACUAUUGUAAAAAUAUUUUCCCAUUUUACAUCAAGUUUUUAUUGUUAAUAUAAUGCAAGAUAAAAUUUUGUAUUUUUAUCUUUAAUCCAGUAAUUUUGUUUCCCAUUAAGAUGGCUUUUAAAAUAGAAGCUCUUGAGUUUGGGUGGCAUAAAAUUAUAUUGAAAUUAAAAACAAAUAGUAGUAUUGCUUUCAAUAUUUUUAUGAUUUUUUUUCACGAACAGAUGUGUUUCUUUCAACAGUUGAGUUUGAAACUCUUGCCUUAAGGUGUUACAAUGAUUAUAUAUCAGGAAUAGACAAUUUCCUACACUGUCAAAUAUAUGAAAGUUGCUUUUGCACACCUUUUUCAACACUGAUCUACAAGCAGAAUCAGUCCCCAUUUGCUUUGACUUAUCCCCUGAGUUAUGCUGAGUGAACUCUGGCCUCUCAGGUGGCAGAGGGCAGGGAGGCUGAGGUGGACCUUCCUGGAGCCACAGAUGAACUGCCACAGUAGAGUGAGAGUGCCCAUCAUGGUGACAUGGGCAAAGUCCCUGCCACACACCUGUAGGUCCAAGUCUCUGAGGACCUGAGGAGCAUGGACACUCCAGAAUCAGCAGGGUAAGGGACAAUUGCACAGAAGACUCUAGCUGUGUCAUCUGCCACAGAUGUCCCAACCAGCUGCACUGCUUUUGUGCACUCGCUGCUGGGCUUAGGAACCACAGACCUGAGUGGCACUCCAAUAGCAUGCUCAGCACAGGUGGCCUUCACCUUGGGUGCACAGUGUCUGUCCCACACAGAGAGGAGCCCUCCCGGGAGCAAUGCUUUUUUUGCCUUCUUCCCUAUACAUUUUGGGAGCUGCAUCCCUCCAAGUGUUGGCACAGCCUGGUUGGAUUUGAAUCUGACCUUCGGCAGCUUCUGUAGGAGCCAAGGCAAAGAACUCAGCUCUGGCAGAGGCAGCCAAACAUAGUGAUGUGCACCAGAGAUAGGCGUUCUCCUCCCCUCGCAGGUUCUAUCCAAGGCUCUGAAAACUUCAUGAAAGCCAAACUGCAAAGCCCUGGCGUAGAGGAGCCAGUGAAAGCUGGACCUAUCCUUUAACCAGAACACAGACACCAUCCUCCUUAAGUAUAAGGAGAAUCCAUUCGAUGUGUCUGGUGCUUUUGGGGGUCCAACUGCACACAGCAUUUCACUAAAUGCAGGGGAACAGCCGUGUGUGUCAGCCCACAACUUAAGACCCCACCAAAGCCCCAUGUGCAUAAAACUCCAUGGAGCCACAGUAACAGCAGUUCUCUUCUACUGCAGGUUGCCAGCUUGCCAAGACUUUGGGGUGGGCACAGGGGCCUGGUGAGGCUGCUGCUGGGUCCCAAGAGGUCACUGUGUACCAGCUGCAGGUGUGGCAUGUUGAAGAAUUUGCCCAUGCCAGGUGUACCAGAGAGGAGCACAUCUUCUUAAGACAGGGAACAGCUGACGGCUCCUUGGAAAGGCUCCCCUGCUUACAGAGGCCAGGUGUGUCCCCCACCCCCCCCACCCCCGUCAAAGUUUUUAUGAAUUAUUUUACUGCAAUGCUUACUGAAUUGACUAGAACAUAUAACAUCAUAUUGGACUAUAAUGCAAACAGCAGAAAUCCAUGAUAUUCAUUGUAUAAACUGAACUGAUUUUGUAUUUCACCAUUUAGAAUAUUUUCUGUUUGUGUUUGACAAGUAGAUUUUUCAAGUCAUCAAAUGGCUACAACUUUUUAAUUCUUUCAGAGUUCCUACUUAGAGUGACUAUUAGGUUUUCCAAAUGCUUCUUAAGGAUCUAUUGAUAGGACCAUAUUGUUAUGUUUUAAAUUAUUUUAGUAGAUUUUAUAGUAUCAAACCAUCCUUGCAAUGUAUGAGCAGAUCCAAGCUGGCUGCAGUAUAUUAAUCUAUGCAAAUAGUCUUGAAUUAUAUUUUCUAUAUUUUUAUUCAUAACUUUUAUCUGUAAUCAUACACAAUGUUGUUUGAGAUUUUUAAAUAUUAUCUAUUUGUAAAACAAUUAUUUUGACCAGAACUCUGUAUUAAAAUUACUCUAGCUUCAUGACUGACCCAGUAGGGAGGCUUUUCUCUUUUCAUGUGAUUGGAAUUGACAGUUUAAAGAGCAGUGAAACCAUCUGGCCUCUAGGGCUGGGCUUUGCUCAGUGCUGGAAUCCUCUGGAUGUGGACUUACAACACCAGCUCCUCCGACGCCUUCCCAAGACUGCAACUCAGCCUCUGUACACUCUCUGCUUCAUCUUGGAUCAGUUAUUGCAACUCACAUUUGGUUAGUAGUUAAACAUUCCCCCAGGUUUUCAAAUUUGUUAUUAAAAGGUUGUAUAACCGCCUAAUGUAUUAUAUGUAAUGCACUGUAUUUACUUAUGCAUGAUGUCAUGUAUUAAUAUCAUUAUGUCCUAGUACAUUUGAUAGGUCAAAUGUUAUAUAUAUUUGUAUAAUUGUAUAUUACACAUAUGUUUUGUCUCCUCCCUUGUUCUAAUCAUGCAUUUUUCCCUUCAAUCUUUAUUUUAAAAUUUUAUCAUAAGCAAAUUUACAAGGGGUUUGUCUAGUAUACUGGUAUUUUCACAAACUAGCUCUUGGGUUUAUUAUUCAUUCUUUUAUUUUUGCCAUUGUUUUAAAAUUAUUAUUAUGCUCAUUUUUUUCUUCACUAAUUUCCUCUUCCUGCUUUCUUUUGGUUUAUUUUAAUUGUUUCCCUAGUUUUCUAUAAUAUAAAGUUUCAUUAUUUUUAAUAUCUCUUUUUUAAUGCAAGCUUUUAAGUUUCUUCAUAUUUCUCUAGGUAAAAUUUAUGCAAUAUUUUAGCUUUGAUGACCUCCUUAUUCCAAAAUUUCUCUAGGGGUAUAUUUCUUAAUUUUUAAGUGUGAAUUUUAUAACGUUUUUAAUGUAUUUUAUAAUGAUAAGAAAUCCUUUCUUUGUUCUAUCAACUUACAAAAUAAUUUUUAUUAUCUAUUUGACAGAUUAUGGAUUCAUAGAUUUCAUUAUGGUUUUAAUUUUGGUCUGUAACUUGUAACUGACUUAGAGAAGGGAAGGAUAUACUAAAAUCUCCCCAGAAUAUAACAUUUUAAUAUAAUUCUUCUAUUCCUAAUAGGUUUUGCUUCAUAUCUUUAACUGCUCUUUUGUGUGCGUACAAAGAUCUAUGAGCCUUUUGCUUGCCUGGGUUGUCUGAGAAGCAGACAUCGGGAUGGGACUGAAUGUGGUGGAAUCUUCCGUGGGAGGUCAACGUAAAGGAACCGGGAGAGGCUGGGGAGGUGUCGCCCGUAGUACAGCUCUGACUCCAAGUACGGGGUUGCUGGGGGAAGGCAGGUGGAGACAGAGCAUCUUGGACGGCAGGCCUCAUAAGAGUCCAUCAAGGCUGUCAGCAGGCCAGGACCAUGGCUGGCUGUCCUGGAAUGCGUGCCCUCCAGGAAGGCUGGCUGGUACUGUGCUGCUCUCCUCCCUGCCUAGGAGGAGCCACCUGGCAGCCACAGCCUGACACGGGGUGCCGGGAGCAGCAGCCAUGUGCUGGUCAUAUGUGCUCCCUGUGGUUGAAAUCAGGUGGUGUGUCCAAUGACACAUGCAUCCAUGUGCCUUCUUCAAAGAGAAGCACGACCUCUGUUAUUAGCCCAGUAUUUUAGCAUUUUCCAAAGCUAUUAGCUCUUGGGAUCUUUUCUCCUACAGAAUAUGGGCAGCACAUUCUAAGAAAUGCUCUUCUCAUUGCUCAUCCUUUGACAGUGCCCUUGUCAUGUCUGAAAUAUUUCACCAACGAUAUCUAUGAAGACAGAGACAACACUUAUGUCAAAUUUGCAGCUGACACUGAAAAAAAAGGAAAAAUAAAUCUGACCGACUCCUGUAAGUCCUUCUACUUAUGCACAAGUGCAAUUCUGAAGGCUUUUUGAAAGGUCAUUUGAUCAUAAAUUCAAAGUAAGGGAGUCUGUUUUAAGUUUGCAAGGCCCAGACACAGACGUGAGUGGUGACCUCGAAGCAUUAAAGCCGGUGUACAUGGUCUUAGCUGGUGUUGUUCUGAAGUUUUGAGGCAGUUCAUCCCCAGGCCAACUCCUGAGCAUCUCUAAAGGUGCUUUGGUUGCUCCUUACUGUGAAGCCAGCAUACACUUGUCUCUCCUCAUUUUGAUUUUGUGCAGAUUCAAAUGGCCAUGAUUCCAUGUGGUCAUCCACGGCUGUGACCAGUUUCCUCAGCAGAAGAAUCACAUUGCUUUGCUUCUGACUCUUGGCUUCAGGCCACUCUGUGUAGAGACUAAAGCCCAUGGGCAUGGUUGGCCCCAGCGUGGCCCCAAGCUCACGUCUAGAUCCCUGGUGCAUCAAGGCCCAGAGGUGGCUUUGGGGGAAGUGAUGGGGUCAGGAGGGCUUACCAGGGAACCAAUCCUUUUGAUGGCUUAGCAAGUGAAAUGGGCCAUUGGGAGCUGGUGGAAGUUGUCAGCUGAGGAGGUAGGUCACUGGGGGACGGUAUCUUGUCCUGUCCCUUUCUGUCGCCUCUCCCUUUCUCUUUGCUUCCCAGCUUCCAUGAGCUGAGCGGCGUUGCUCCAUCCUCCUUCUCCAUGAUGCUCUGGCUCACCUCAGGACCAGAGCAAGGAGCCAGCCAGCCAUGGACUGAACCUCUGAAACCAUGAGCCCAAGUUCUUUCCUCCUUAUGUUGAAAAAAGUUAACACACCUCUGAAACCUGAAGUCCACCCAGAAGGCUGAUCCCACCAGGGCCUCCAGUUGACCUGCCCACCACAAGCCUCUCCUGGUCUUCCUGUCCCUGUUGACUGUGCAGGUGUAGAGCUUUACACUGAUUCACUUUCUGCCCUUGAGGAUUGUCCCUCCUGUGGAGUGACUCAUGCACAGCACCUGCCACUUCCCCACCACAUUCCAUUUUUAUCAGAAGCUUCUUCUGAUUUCCCUGUAAGUUUCUAGGUAUGAAUUCUUUCUAUAUUUUAUUGGCACUUUCAAAUAUUAUGGGUAUAACAAUGCUCCUAAAAUGUCUCAGCAGUAAACACAGACAGCUGAGUCUAAAAUGAGUCUGCAGACGGCUGAUGUCAUCUGUUGGUGGCAGUGGGACCUGACACAAUUUGCUCUGGAGGAAAGCUUUGUUUAUUUUUACUGAAGUUUAUUGGUUGAAACUUAUGAAGAGACACGAUUCUAUAUUAAGCUGGGGACCUGAGGGGACACACAGGUAAUGCUACCUCUGGCUUCCUGGCCCUCAGAGAGACAGCUCCUUCAAAUGCAGAUAGGAAAAGAAAGCCGCGCUUCAUUAAGAAGCCAACUCACAGGAAGCCUCCUUUCCGCGGCUCUCCUCUGCCAUCCUGCCUCUUUGGUAAGCUGGAUCUUAUUUCAACUGGCGCAGGAAGCUUUGGGAUCCAUCUGAAAGGGGCCAUCCCCCACCAUCAAGGGCUCCCUCCUGCUUCGCUCCUGGGUGUGGAUAGCAAGCCUAGCCUCAGCAAGGUGGGAGGUACCUGCUUGGGGUACCAGGUCACCUUUUAUGAAAAGGCUAGAACUGCAUUAACCCAGUGACGCACUGGGUGUUGGGUUUGUCCAGGAACUGGCCCGGUGGUGGCUGGUGGCCUCCUUCAGAUCCUGAAGGGACUCCCAGUGCUUUGUGGUACUUGCAUAGUGUGGCUAAUCUCUAACAGAAGAAACAUAGGUGCUGUCCUCACCUAUGACUCACUCAAAAAGGCCAGGGGCAGCACUGCUUCUUACACUACCCGGGUCAUUCUACCCUCAUCAGCUGGCCGAGGCCCACCUCUGCCCUGGACAAACCUCAGCCUUAGGUAAGGGCAAUGAGAGCACCCACUGCCCAGCACGCCACCCUGUGGGGCUUGGCCUCGAUUUCUGUCUGUCUAUAAGUCUGAGACUCCAGCUGUGCCUGGCUCUGCUUCUACCCAUCUCCUACACCAGAUGAUGGGACGCCAAAUCAAAGUCCCCGGCUGGAGGACAGGACAGAAUCAUCGGAGUGAAAACCUGCGGGAUAGGAGAGCAUGCCAUGAACCAGGCUCUCGUGAGGGGACAGCACCCAGGAUGUGUCACUAUAACUCAACAGCAAACGAGCAUACAACCCAGUGGAAAAUCGGACCUGCGAUUCAAGCCAACACCUUUUGUGGAGAUCUAACCAUACAUUAGGCACAUUCCAGGAACAGGACACCAAAUAAGCCCCAUCCCUGCUGAGUGCACUGGGAUCAAGUGCUGGAAACCAAGAGCCUACAAGUGUGAACGUGGCCCGCCGCCCUUGGGUCGUGUUGAAUCAGGAUGUUGAGGAUUCUAAGGAGUAAGUCAGCUCUCAUAGUGCUGCACUGGUCCUGCAAGAGCAGGUGCUGUCAGGGAGCCCCGUACCUCCCUGGGUCUUUCUUGACACACUUCUGCACUCUCCCAUCUGUCCUUCCACCAGGAGACCCUCGCCAGAAGCCAAGCAGAUGCUGGAACAACCCAGAGCAGAACUAUGAGCUAAACAAAUAUCUUUUCCUUAUAAAGUACUCAGAUUCUGGUAUUUUAUUAUAGCAACACAAAAACAAGACAAAAAGGAUACUAAAAUCAUACAAAAACAAAACAUCAAAAUCAAGCCAUAUGGGGCUGGGUUUGUGGCUCAGUGGUAGAGUGCUCGCCUGGCAUGUGAGAGGCACUGGGUUCCAUCCUCAAUCCCACUUAAAAAUGAAAUAAAGAUAUUG